rnacentral:snoRNA from 1 species
CUCAGUGAUGAAACCUUUUACCGCCCCAGUCUGAUAUCCGUGACUGAGUGGUUCCUUCUGAGUCUGGG